GAUGAACGCUGGCGGCGUGCCUAAUACAUGCAAGUCGAGCGAACGGACGAGAAGCUUGCUUCUCUGAUGUUAGCGGCGGACGGGUGAGUAACACGUGGAUAACCUACCUAUAAGACUGGGAUAACUUCGGGAAACCGGAGCUAAUCCCGGAUAAUAUUUUGAACCGCAUGGUUCAAAAGUGAAAGACGGUCUUACUGUCACUUAUAGAUGGAUCCGCGCUGCAUUAGCUAGUUGGUAAGGUAACGGCUUACCAAGGCAACGAUGCAUAGCCGACCUGAGAGGGUGAUCGGCCACACUGGAACUGAGACAGGGUCCAGACUCCUACGGGAGGACGCAGUAGGGAAUCUUCCGCAAUGGGCGAAAGCCUGACGGAGCAACGCCGCGUGAGUGAUGAAGGUCUUCGGAGCGUAAAACUCUGUUAUUAGGGAAGAACAUAUGUGUAAGUAACUGUGCACAUCGUGACGGUACCUAAUCAGAAAGCCACGGCUAACUACGUG
rnacentral:rRNA from 1 species